rnacentral:rRNA from 1 species
CGCGUAGGCGGCCUGGUAAGUCAGGUGUGAAAGCCCGGGGCUCAACCCCGGAAGUGCAUUUGAUACUGUCAGGCUUGAGUAUGGGAGAGGGAAGUGGAAUUCCUGGUGUAGAGGUGAAAUUCGUAGAUAUCAGGAGGAACACCGGUGGCGAAGGCGACUUCCUGGACCAAUACUGACGCUGAGGCGCGAAGGCGUGGGGAGCAAACA